CACUGAAAGGCGGACUGGAGCAUGGGGAGCCAUUAAUCAUCUCCAAGCUACCAAGGUGUAUGGUUCUUGUCCCAGAAGAAGGAUCUCUGCUUUUGGAAACUGGCUGUAUUUCACUACAAUCUCUUCAUGGAUGGAGGACUAGACUUUUMAAAGCAUCCAAAUAUCUGAAUGUAAUCAAGUCAUGCAUUUUUUCAACGCAUCAGAUGGAAUCUACGAAUGUCUAAGUGCCUUUGAGCUAUAGCCUUAAAAUCUC